GCGGGGGAUAACACCCGGAAAAGAUGCUAAUACCGCAUAACAACUUGGACCGCAUGGUCCGAGUUUGAAAGAUGGCUUCGGCUAUCACUUCUUGGAUGGUCCCGCGGCGUAUUAGCUAGAUGGUGGGGUAACGGCUCACCAUGGCAAUGAUACGUAGCCGACCUGAGAGGGUAAUCGGCCACAUUGGGACUGAGACACGGCCCAAACUCCUACGGGAGGCAGCAGUAGGGAAUCUUCCACAAUGGACGAAAGUCUGAUGGAGCAACGCCGCGUGAGUGAAGAAGGGUUUCGGCUCGUAAAACUCUGUUGUUAAAGAAGAACAUAUCUGAGAGUAACUGUUCAGGUAUUGACGGUAUUUAACCAGAAAGCCACGGCUAACUACGUGCCAGCAGCCGCGGUAAUACGUAGGUGGCAAGCGUUGUCCGGAUUUAUUGGGCGUAAAGCGAGCGCAGGCGGUUUUUUAAGUCUGAUGUGAAAGCCUUCGGCUCAACCGAAGAAGUGCAUCGGAAACUGGGAAACUUGAGUGCAGAAGAGGACAGUGGAACUCCAUGUGUAGCGGUGAAAUGCGUAGAUAUAUGGAAGAACACCAGUGGCGAAAGCGGCUGUCUGGUCUGUAACUGACGCUGAGGCUCGAAAGUAUGGGUAGCAACAGGAUUAGAUACCCUGGUAGUCCAUACCGUAACGAUGAAUGCUAGUGUUGGAGGGUUUCGCCCUUCAGUGCUGCAGCUACGCAUAGCAUCCGCCUGGGAGUACGCCGCAGCUGAAACUCAA
rnacentral:rRNA from 2 species